CGCUGGCGGCGUGCUAACACAUGCAAGUCGAGCGAUGAGGCUCCCUUCGGGGGGUACAUCAGCGGCGAACGGGUGAGUAACACGUGGGUGACCUUCCCCAAAGACGGGGAUAACUCUUGGAAACAGGGGCUAAUACCCGAUGUGCUCAGCAGUUCACUCUGUUGAGUAAAGCUAUGGCGCUUUGGGAUGGGCCCGCGGCCCAUCAGCUAGUUGGUAGGGUAAAGGCCUACCAAGGCUAAGACGGGUAGGGGGCGUGAGAGCGCGAUCCCCCACACUGGCACUGAGACACGGGCCAGACUCCUACGGGAGGCAGCAGUGAGGAAUAUUGCGCAAUGGACGAAAGUCUGACGCAGCGACGCCGCGUGGGCGAUGAAGGCCUUCGGGUCGUAAAGCCCUUUUCUGGGGGAAGAGAAAGGACGGUACCCCAGGAAUAAGCCCCGGCUAACUACGUGCCAGCAGCCGCGGUAAAACGUAGGGGGCAAGCGUUAUCCGGAUUUACUGGGCGUAAAGAGCGUUGAGGCGGUUUUGUAAGUUGGGCGUGAAAGCCCUGGGCUUAACUCAGGGAAGCCGUUCAAUACUGCGAAACUUGAGGGCAGCAGAGGGAGGUGGAAUUCCCGGAGUAGCGGUGAAAUGCGUAGAUAUCGGGAGGAACACCAGUGGCGAAGGCGGCCUCCUGGGCUGCUCCUGACGCUGAAGGCGAAAGCUAGGGGAGCGAACGGGAUUAGAAACCCCGGUAGUCCUAGCCGUAAACGAUGGAUGCUAGGUGUGGGGGGUGUAGAUUCCCUCCGUGCCGCAGUUAACGCGUUAAGCAUCCCGCCUGGGGAGUACGGCCGCAAGGCUAAAACUCAAACGAAUUGACGGGGGCCCGCACAAGCAGCGGAGCGUGUGGUUUAAUUCGAUGCUACACGAAGAACCUUACCUGGGCUUGACAUACAGGUAGUAGUGAAGUGAAAGCGGAUCGAUCCUUCGGGGAGCCUGUACAGGUGCUGCAUGGCUGUCGUCAGCUCGUGCCGU
rnacentral:rRNA from 1 species